rnacentral:misc_RNA from 1 species
UAAUAAGUGUUUUAUGGCACUUUUUUAAAUCCAUAUCCACCUUGUGUGCAAGUGUCGGUCGAUCUUCUUCAUUUGGAGGAUCGACCAAACAUCAACCUUUAUUUUUUAACUCUUUGUCUGAGAAAAUAUUAUGAAUAAACAAUUCAAAAUA